GGGGAAGGUGAGAGCCAGGGUGGCACGCUCCCGGGAUUCUGAGGCGGUCGGCAUGGCCUGGAACCCUGGGGGCUGGCGCUGUGAUCACCUCCGGAGGCCAGCCACGCCAGCACCCGAUUCGACGCUCUGGACAACCAGGACAUAGCACGGGACCGGCGUCAGGGGCUGGGACCCAGGAGUGAGGAGGAGCAGCGGGGAUGAGGCCCAGUCCCCAAAGGGAAGGAAACCCUGCACUUCCCCAACUGAGUCUGGCUGCAAGACAACCCAGAAGGGAGAGGGCUGGCCUAAGUGAACUGGAGCCCCAGCACCCUAAGCACUCCCUGAACAGCACCAACACACCUGCCCUCUGCUUUUCCUGAACACCUGGCACUCAGUGACCGUCUCCUGAGUGAAUGACUCCAUUUGUGGUGCCCACCAGCCAGGUGAGGUGGGUACGUAUGGAGGGGCUGAGGCUCAAAGCAGGAAGUGGCUGGCCCAAGGUCAAGGUGAGGGGCAGGGCCUGGGCCUUGACACAGAAGGUUCCUUCUCCCUGUCCAGGGCAAAGGACCCGGGAGCAGACCUGGACAAGGACGGGGUACCAGCAGUGCCCUGGUUCGGCUGGGAUGACUGGAAGGGCCUAGCUCCCCCAGCUUCUCUGCUGCCACUUCCACCCGGUGCCCGCAUAGAACCCACCCCAGAGCUGCCUUCGAGCAGGCCCAGCAGGGGCCCUGCGCUGAACUCUGGACUCCUCCCCACUCCUUCCUCCCUGCCACCGCUGCCCCCGCCCCUCCCCACUUGUUCACUCUGGGCAGCCGAGCAAGUCCAGAAGCUGGGGGGUCUUCAAACCCAAAGGGAAACAUCCACUGAGUAGGGGCCUCCCGGGCCUGGCCUCCUUUGAGCCCAUGUCCGCUCCUAGGACCAUGCAGGGUGACCACUAGGUAUCCUGAGGUGGUGCUGCGGGCCUGGCCUGAAAGAGGGUGGGGCUGGCAGGCAGACAGAACUGGGGGUGGGGGGGACUUUAGAACAGACAGGACAAUGGAGGGCCCCACAGCCUAGGGGGAGGAGGACAUCACAGCUCAGGGGCAGUCAGCCCGCAAGUGUGGGGAUGGGGGUUGGGGGGCUCUGGAUGCAGGAGGCAGUAGCCCAGGGGAGAAAUGGCUCAGGCAGGCUGGGACUUGCCAGCCAGACCCAGAUGGACGAUGGGGAGAAGGGAGGGAAGAGGCUUCCUCCGGACGCAGCUGCCCCCACGUCAUGCCCUCAUGCCCCUGCAGGGGAUGGGGGUGGGGGUGGACAGGAGUGGAGCUGAGGGGAUUCCCUGGUUGAACCGGCAUGUCAGGGGCCAGGGCCUGACGGUCUUAGGCUCUAGUCCCCCUCUGUCCCUCCCUGACCCCAAGUGACCCCAGGCCAAGCCCUCAAAUCUCUGAGUUUCAGUCCCCCCCACACACACAUCCAGCCCCCACUGGCAGCCUCCUCACUCCCAGGGUCCCAGCGGGGCACUAGCCUGUGAGUGCAUUUGUGCAAAGGAGACAAGACCCUCCUGUCAGCUGGGCAGGAUUGUUUUCCCAGGGCUGACUCAGGCAGCUCAGCAGUCUCCUGGGGCCUCUGUAGCCUCCCACCCGCCCUUGGCCAUGACUGGAGGAGGGGGCCAGGGGCCGGGUCAGUCCCCUCCCCAGACAGCCAUCUGCCAAGGCGGGAGUACGUGUACACACACAUGUCACAUGCUCCAUAGUGGGGCCCUCCCUGUGGCGAGUACUACCUGGCUUCCCAGGCAUUGAAGACAAAGGGCCUGAGGAAGCCCCUGCCUCUCCCCUCACCCCCACUGGAAGAUUCUCAGGCCAUCAGCCCAUCCCCCACCAGGGGCAUCUGGAGCAGAUGGGAAGUCCUCCCCCCACCCCAACACUGGAAUCACUUCACAUCCCUGUGCCCCCCAGGCUCCUCCCAGCCUGACCACCAGUUAACCAGAACCUUCCAUCCCAUCUGGGAGGGGGGAGAAGGAGCAGAAGGCCAGAGCUCCCGCCCCUCAAGAUGCCCAGAGCCAAAGCUUCCGCCCUGCCUAGCCUGAGGGAGCUUAGAGAGAAGCAUCCUAGCCAGCAUGGGAGGUCAGGCCUCCAAGGCUCCCCCAGGACCAGCUGUUUGGAGGACCCCACCCCGGGAGGGUCCCAUAGCACCAGAGCUGGAAUGGGAAGAAGGGCCGGGGACCCCUAUGGACCUGGGCCAGACCUCACCUGCCCCGUAGAGCGGUCUGCAGCUAAGGCCAGAAGGGUGCCCGGGAAAGGGUGGAGUCUUGGGGCCCAUUGUCCACAGCUGCUGGGGCCAGCUUCGGCUCCCCUCGAGAGCAGGGUCCCCUCUCAUCUCAGGCUGGGAAACCGGCCACAAGAUAGCCCUCCCCCAGCCAUGGCAGACCUGGGAACUCGGGCCCAGAGGCCCACUGGCCCUUGUCCAUCCUCAGCUCAGUCCCUUCAUUUGUGAAAUAGUGAGCACAGGAUCCUCCUCACAAGAUUAAUGCAACUUCAGGUGACAGACGUCAACACCUGCAAAGUUCGCUGGGCCACUGGAGGCACUGUGCUGAUUUUUUCAGGGAGUUGCUCCCCCUGUGAAGUUCUAUCCCCCAUCCACUUCACCAAUCCCACCCCCACCUCCCCAGGGACCGAAGCUGGCAUAUUUUUAUUAGUUGCAGUGACAGCAGGGGUUUCGAGGGCGGAGUUGGAACCCAGAGAGAAACCUGGGACUUUUCUAGGCUGAGGCCUUACAUAGGAACCCCUAGCAGCACAUCCUUUCCUGCUCUGGCAUCAAAGCUUCAACCACAGCCAGUCAGCAGAGCACUAGAGAUCCUAGGAGACGUUGAAAAUGCUGAGUCCCUGCCCCUAUCUCCACCUGAAUCAGAAUUCACCAGGGUGAUGCUGGAGCCACUGGGGCAGAUGUGUCCCAAGGGCCUUGCAAAAGCUGUGGUCCCCCACACCCAGGCUAGGUGGCAGGCUGGGGAAAGGCUAUGUGUCCCAUCUCAGAGAGGUGAAAUCCAGACAUAUGUCCGGGCCGCCCAUUUCUAUGACCCUUUCACAAGGGAAGCAACCAGGCACGUAGGAUCUGCAUCUUUCUGGCUGGCCCUUAGGUGCCCCCUCAGCCGCCAGGAACACUCCCCACCUCUGGGUUAAGGUGGGGGGACCACCUGGCACCUUCCACGGGUCACCCUCUGGCCUCAGUCAUCUGUGUGAAAUAUAAAAUGACAAUAAUAACCCUGAAUGGAGGAAGGGGUUGAACAAUAAUCCUGAAUAGAGGGAGGCUUCUCAGCAGCCUCGGAAAAAGCAGGGCCCCUAUUCCACCCGGCCCAGGGCCUCUCCACUGCAAGCCCAGUUCCCCACUCGGGUGAGGGGCCUCCACAGUCUCCCCCUGGGACACAACCUGGAGAGGCAUCCGGUGCGGCAGAGGAGAGGCGAGGGCAGCCAUCUUGUCCCCUCAAACCCCAAUGUGCCUCCCAGCACCAGGGCCCCACCCCAAAUGCCUCCCAAAGAGCUUAACUGCAGGCCCCAGCCCCAACAUCUGGUCCCCCAGCCACAGCUGUCGCCACCCUCCCUCAUCCUGGGAUUGCCCCAAACUCUGCCCGGCACCCCGUCCCCACCCCCUCGCCCAAGUGGGAAAUUCGGAUUCCAGGCAAGUCAGGGUAGCUGAAAAUGCACAUGGGAAAAUGUCGUCAGGAAAACACAUUCUUCCUUCUAUACCGCGGUUCAGACCCUGGGAGGAUUAGGUGGCAGAAGACACUCCCACCGCCUGGGGCCAAGGCCAGGCCAGGGAAGGAGGGGAGAGAGUGGGGGCCGCAAGGUGUGGCUGAGAGGGGUCUAGGCUCCCCAACAGGCCCUGAGGAGGGGCCCUGGCAGAGCUCUGUCUUCCUGCAGGCCAGUGUGCCCUCCAAGGGCACUCCCAGCAAGGGGAGCCCAGGCUGAAAGCAUUGCUGUGGCUACCCGUUUGCAGCUGGCUUUUGAGAAACAACAAAAGCUUUGGGGGGACGCGGUUCACACGAUUGUUUGAAAUGAGGUUUUUGGAUGUCUGUGGCAUCCAGUUAUUCAUACUGGCUCCACCCACGGAUAAUUGAGAGUUGGCUUUUGUUGGCCUGACCCCCCUUCUCAGUCCCCGCCCCCCCCACCAAGUCUUCUCAGGGACUCCAGCUCGGGAAGCUCACCUUGUCUGACCUCUUUCUUGGUUUUGCAGAUGAGGAAACUGAGACCCAGAAAGGGGAGGAGCAGGCCCAAGGACCCCAGGGAGUUGGUGGCCUGGCCAAAACUCAAAUCCAGGACAUCAGAUUCCCAGGCCAGGGGCUUUUCCCACUCAUCCUCCAGGCUGUGGCCUGGCUCCAGCGAAUCCCCCAAAGCCACUGACUCCAAAAGCAGUGGUGCCUGGAAGUGGGGUGACUCACUGUCUGGCUUUCUGGGGCACCCCCUCCCCAUCAGUGAGGGAGGGACUGGCAGGUGUCCCUGUUUAGAGAGCCAGAAGCAGGGAGAGGCCCCCCCAGGGGACCUGGGCCAGGGUCACCCAGGGGCCGAAGAGCCCCAGCUGGAGGGAUUUAACACCAAAGGUCAAAGGUCACAGACAGGGAAGGGCGGGCAGGCACUAAGGGUCAGAGGGUCAGCGCUAAUGGCAGCUCCGGAAAGGAGGGGGAGGGUAAGGAGCUAAGGAAAACAGGGCUGCUUCCAAGGGGUCCCCAACCCCCAUAAACUGUGCCCCAACCCCCUGGCAUCUGCCUCUGCUUGGCUGGUUGCAGAGAGGGCCAAAGACAGCUCUGGUGGGGGGUUGUAAAAUGGGCUGGGCUGGAGCUUGGAGAGGGGUGUCCUGGGAAGGGCUCCCCAGGUGCAGCCCCUCCCCCAGAGUGGGCCAGGGCCAGCUGGGAGGCCCAGCCCAGACCCAGAGGGGAGAAGGAGGAGCAGAGGGGGAAGGCUCCGAGGUCACGGGGAGGGAUGGAGGGAUGUGUGGGUUGGGCUGGAACAGCUGUGGCACUGUGGCACAGGGAGUAGGGCUGGGUGGGUGGGCAGACUUGAGGGGCCAGUCUCCCCUUCCCUGCGUUUGGGAGCUGAGGAAGGCCGGGGGGGGGGGGGAGCACAGAAUGUCUCCUAGCUGCUUUCUAGCUUCAGCGAAGCCCCACCUUUCCUCCAGGAUGCCAGGACCAGGCGUGUGAGACCCUCAGGAUGGCUGCCUCUAAAGACCACAGCUCAGCCCCUGUCCCUGGACUAAACCAAGAGCCACGAUGAGAGCCCAGGCCUUGGCCAGGUCCUGGGCUUCCCUGGCUGCCCCCUUGGUGUCAAGCGUUCCCUUCAGAGCCAAGAUCCCAGGCUGUGAUGGCCGGGGGCCCAGGGCUCCUCCCAGGAUCUCUUCCCGCUUCCCAAGCCCCAGGGCAGGGCCAGGAUCCCUGCAACCAUCACCGCCUGGGGGUGGCCAGGCCAGGCGGGCCCUCCUGGCCCCGGGGACAGGCGGCGUGCUGCCCUGCUGUGGCCUGAGUACCCGACUGGCCAGGGCAGAGUGCCAGGGGCUCCAGGUGCCAGCUUGGAUUCCAGCCCCACUCCAGGGGGCCUGCGGGGAAGCAGGGUGCCGGCAUCUCCCUCCCUCGGGAUGCACCUGCCUCACCCCUCCCCCACUCCCUUCAGACCCUCCUUCAGGCCGGCUGGAUACCCCUGCCCUCAUCACUUUGCCAGGCUCUUCUGCUUCCCCCUGGGCGGCGGUGGAUGAAAAAGUGCCAUACAGGACUGCAGUGUCCCAGUCCUGACGCGGCAGUACCCCCUGUCCUGACCCCCAGGGACGCCUUCCUUCCCCUGCCCCCCCAGGAAGGGCCGGGGCUGGCCAGGGGCAGCAGGGGGGAGACUUUCCGGGACAAGGGAGGAGACACCUUUCAAACCCCGUCCUAGAAACAGCCCCAGCGCAGCCGUGGGAAGGGGCGGCUGCCCGGCUGCCCCAGACAACUUCGUGCCCAGGCUCCGGGGGCCCCCUCUCACCCCGCAGCGCGCCCCCACCGCGGCCGCCCAACUUCCCCGCCGAAGUUUGCUCCCGCCCCGGGCCCGGCCGAGGCUCGGCCCGGCCUCCGGACGGAGGGAGGGAGGGAGGGAGGAGAAAGACGGAGAGACGGAGGGACGGGGCCGGGGAGCCGGCGAGGGAGGGAGCGCGCGAGCGAGGGAGCGAGCGCAGGGGCCCCGGCGAGGGCUCACAAUGGCCCGGGGCGAGGCGCCGACGCGGGAGGAGGAGGCGACCCUCGGGUCCCGCAGCCCCCCGCAGCCCCCGCGCGACAGCCCAGCCCCCCCGCCCAGUCCCAUCCCCACCGCGCGACGCCGCGGGGCUUCCUACCUCGGCGGCGGGGGCGGUCGGGCUCCCGGCUGCGGGCUCCGGCGGUCUGGGGGCGGCGGGGGAGCGAGCG